rnacentral:misc_RNA from 1 species
UAUUUGGCUUUCUAUUCAGGAGAAUGGCAGACAGAAAAAUCCAGUUUAUAUCGAUGCUACUUCAUCUGAAAACUAUGCUGUAGAAGGUCAUUAUGCAUCGCAAGCAAUGGCAACGGUGACUGGCUCAUCAUCCUCCCCUUCCGGGGGUCUUGCUAGUGCAAUAGCUGCCCUUGCCGAGCGUCAGCAGAUGGGUGGGGAAUCUUUUGCUCAUAAUAAUGGAAACAUUUCAGCAUGCAACAUGCUUCCAGGCAGUAGUAGCUUUUA